rnacentral:rRNA from 1 species
UUAAGUUAUUAAGGGCGCACGGUGGAUGCCUUGGCACUAGAAGCCGAUGAAGGACGUUACUAACGACGAUAUGCUUUGGGGAGCUGUAAGUAAGCUUUGAUCCAGAGAUUUCCGAAUGGGGAAACCCAGCAUGAGUUAUGUCAUGUUAUCGAUAUGUGAAUACAUAGCAUAUCAGAAGGCACACCCGGAGAACUGAAACAUCUUAGUACCCGGAGGAAGAGAAAGAAAAUUCGAUUCCCUUAGUAGCGGCGAGCGAAACGGGAAGAGCCCAAACCAACAAGCUUGCUUGUUGGGGUUGUAGGACACUCUAUACGGAGUUACAAAGGACGACAUUAGACGAAUCAUCUGGAAAGAUGAAUCAAAGAAGGUAAUAAUCCUGUAGUCGAAAAUGUUGUCUCUCUUGAGUGGAUCCUGAGUACGACGGAGCACGUGAAAUUCCGUCGGAAUCUGGGAGGACCAUCUCCUAAGGCUAAAUACUCUCUAGUGACCGAUAGUGAACCAGUACCGUGAGGGAAAGGUGAAAAGCACCCCGGAAGGGGAGUGAAAUAGAACCUGAAACCGUGUGCUUACAAGUAGUCAGAGCCCGUUAAUGGGUGAUGGCGUGCCUUUUGUAGAAUGAACCGGCGAGUUACGAUUUGAUGCAAGGUUAAGCAGUAAAUGUGGAGCCGUAGCGAAAGCGAGUCUGAAUAGGGCGUUUAGUAUUUGGUCGUAGACCCGAAACCAGGUGAUCUACCCUUGGUCAGGUUGAAGUUCAGGUAACACUGAAUGGAGGACCGAACCGACUUACGUUGAAAAGUGAGCGGAUGAACUGAGGGUAGCGGAGAAAUUCCAAUCGAACCUGGAGAUAGCUGGUUCUCUCCGAAAUAGCUUUAGGGCUAGCCUCAAGUGAUGAUUAUUGGAGGUAGAGCACUGUUUGGACGAGGGGCCCCUCUCGGGUUACCGAAUUCAGACAAACUCCGAAUGCCAAUUAAUUUAACUUGGGAGUCAGAACAUGGGUGAUAAGGUCCGUGUUCGAAAGGGAAACAGCCCAGACCACCAGCUAAGGUCCCAAAAUAUAUGUUAAGUGGAAAAGGAUGUGGCGUUGCCCAGACAACUAGGAUGUUGGCUUAGAAGCAGCUAUCAUUUAAAGAGUGCGUAAUAGCUCACUAGUCGAGUGACACUGCGCCGAAAAUGUACCGGGGCUAAACAUAUUACCGAAGCUGUGGAUUGUCCUUUGGACAAUGGUAGGAGAGCGUUCUAAGGGCGUUGAAGCAUGAUCGUAAGGACAUGUGGAGCGCUUAGAAGUGAGAAUGCCGGUGUGAGUAGCGAAAGACGGGUGAGAAUCCCGUCCACCGAUUGACUAAGGUUUCCAGAGGAAGGCUCGUCCGCUCUGGGUUAGUCGGGUCCUAAGCUGAGGCCGACAGGCGUAGGCGAUGGAUAACAGGUUGAUAUUCCUGUACCACCUAUAAUCGUUUUAAUCGAUGGGGGGACGCAGUAGGAUAGGCGAAGCGUGCGAUUGGAUUGCACGUCUAAGCAGUAAGGCUGAGUAUUAGGCAAAUCCGGUACUCAUUAAGGCUGAGCUGUGAUGGGGAGAAGACAUUGUGUCUUCGAGUCGUUGAUUUCACACUGCCGAGAAAAGCCUCUAGAUAGAAAAUAGGUGCCCGUACCGCAAACCGACACAGGUAGUCAAGAUGAGAAUUCUAAGGUGAGCGAGCGAACUCUCGUUAAGGAACUCGGCAAAAUGACCCCGUAACUUCGGGAGAAGGGGUGCUCUUUAGGGUUAACGCCCAGAAGAGCCGCAGUGAAUAGGCCCAAGCGACUGUUUAUCAAAAACACAGGUCUCUGCUAAACCGUAAGGUGAUGUAUAGGGGCUGACGCCUGCCCGGUGCUGGAAGGUUAAGAGGAGUGGUUAGCUUCUGCGAAGCUACGAAUCGAAGCCCCAGUAAACGGCGGCCGUAACUAUAACGGUCCUAAGGUAGCGAAAUUCCUUGUCGGGUAAGUUCCGACCCGCACGAAAGGCGUAACGAUUUGGGCACUGUCUCAACGAGAGACUCGGUGAAAUCAUAGUACCUGUGAAGAUGCAGGUUACCCGCGACAGGACGGAAAGACCCCGUGGAGCUUUACUGUAGCCUGAUAUUGAAAUUCGGCACAGCUUGUACAGGAUAGGUAGGAGCCUUUGAAACGUGAGCGCUAGCUUACGUGGAGGCGCUGGUGGGAUACUACCCUAGCUGUGUUGGCUUUCUAACCCGCACCACUUAUCGUGGUGGGAGACAGUGUCAGGCGGGCAGUUUGACUGGGGCGGUCGCCUCCUAAAAGGUAACGGAGGCGCUCAAAGGUUCCCUCAGAAUGGUUGGAAAUCAUUCAUAGAGUGUAAAGGCAUAAGGGAGCUUGACUGCGAGACCUACAAGUCGAGCAGGGUCGAAAGACGGACUUAGUGAUCCGGUGGUUCCGCAUGGAAGGGCCAUCGCUCAACGGAUAAAAGCUACCCCGGGGAUAACAGGCUUAUCUCCCCCAAGAGUUCACAUCGACGGGGAGGUUUGGCACCUCGAUGUCGGCUCAUCGCAUCCUGGGGCUGUAGUCGGUCCCAAGGGUUGGGCUGUUCGCCCAUUAAAGCGGUACGCGAGCUGGGUUCAGAACGUCGUGAGACAGUUCGGUCCCUAUCCGUCGUGGGCGUAGGAAAUUUGAGAGGAGCUGUCCUUAGUACGAGAGGACCGGGAUGGACAUACCUCUGGUGUACCAGUUGUCGUGCCAACGGCAUAGCUGGGUAGCUAUGUGUGGACGGGAUAAGUGCUGAAAGCAUCUAAGCAUGAAGCCCCCCUCAAGAUGAGAUUUCCCAACUUCGGUUAUAAGAUCCCUCAAAGAUGAUGAGGUUAAUAGGUUCGAGGUGGAAGCAUGGUGACAUGUGGAGCUGACGAAUACUAAUCGAUCGAAGACUUAAUCAA